ACCAUCUGACCUAGCAAUGGCCUAGAUGGCCCAGCUCUUGGGCUUGUGGCCUUGUGCAAGAGCACGGCCCAAGGGCCUGCUCCCAAAUCUAUCGCGGCUUUGCCCCCGUUGGAAUCGUUGUGGGAGGAGGCGAACUCCACCUCCUCAAGUCCCAACGAGGUGGAGGAACCUCGUCGACUAUUUAAGCCCCCCCUUCCUUUGUUUCUUCUUUGGAUUUUGGCCGCCCUUUGCCGCUGUCACUAUGGUUAUAGAAGUUCCUCGCUGGAAAAUGAGUCAAGAUUUCAUAUAGGAUUAGAGAUGGAUCAUGUGAGAACAAUAUGUAAGAAGAUACUAAUGAACUUGUCUGGCCAAGUGCAAUACAUGUUAUACUUGCAUUUUAAGAAGCCCAACACCUUAGAAGAUGCACUCCAAUAUUGCCUCCCUCAGAUUUCUCAAGAAAAUUGGAAAGUUCUUUUCAUUAUGUGGAACAAUGACAAAUUCAAGGUUCUUAAUACUUGCUCUACUCGUGGAGAUGAUGAUGAUAAUGCUACUGUAAAUACCGGACCAAAUGGACCAACCUGGAUCAUAGUGUACGGUCCAUUUGGAAACCCAAACCUGCAACCAUGAUCGCCAGCUGUUGAGGCGGUUAUAACCGCCUAACAGGCACGAUCACCACCCCUCUUCUCUUACGGCUGAAGGCUGUUAAAGCCCAUGAAUCCCUCGCAAAGGAACUCCAUCACUCUCUCAUUUCUUCUCACUCUCUUCUUUUUCUGCUACAAGGAACGGAAGAGUAGGGAUCUGAGCCGCCGGAGGGAACAUCAUAGAGUUGUCCCGGAGCUAGGUAAGUCCCUGACUUCUUCCCUUGUAUUAUGCAAGUAGGAUCCAGUCUAGCCAUGAAACAAAAAACCAAAAAGGGGAAAAUGAAAUAGAACGGAUUGAAGGGUGAAGAAGAGAAGGAAGAAGAUGAGGAGGGAAGGGGGAGAUCUAACCUGCAGUGUUCGGCCUCUGAGCCGACAUUGACACGAUCGGCCACGAUCGUGGCCCCGACCGUCGAUGGCCGAAGACCCUUCUCCUCCCGAUCAUCUCCUUUCCCUAUUGGCCAAACCCUAAUCGAGCACAUCUAGAUUUGGUAGCCGAGAAUAUGGCCGCCGGUGGAGGGGUUCUCCUUCCCCUCUGCUGCAACAGACUCGGAGAACCGUUGGCUCGGCUGCAGCCGCCAUUGGUCUCGGCGAGGGUUGCGGCAGGGCCGAGGGGCUCUCCCUUCUCUCGGGUGACUGGGUUCAGAGAUCCUGUUCCUCAGAGGGGGGAUAGAAGAAGGGGGAGGAUGAAGAGGAUGGGGGGUCGGCCGCUACAGGCUGAGCCAUGGGCGAUGUUGGUCGGCCGCCGGCAUCGCCGACCUCGGAACUCUCUCCCUCCCGAGUACUCCCGCGAGCCUCCUCGCUUCAUAUGAGAAGAGGAGAAGAGGAGGAGGAGAUCAGGAAGGGAAGAAAGGAGGAGAAGAGAAGGAAAGGAAGAAGGGAAAGGAAGGUUCGGGAAGAAAGAAAAGAAAAAGAAGAAAAGAAGAGAGAAGAAAAGAAGAGAGAAGAAAAGAAAAAAAAAAUGUGGUGGGCUGAAAUGGGCCUGAUUCCGGAGUGGGCUUCAAAUAAAUUUAGCUUUAGAAGCUUGAGGUUGGGCUGGGCCCUGAUCCGAGCCCAGUGUUCUUAAAACCAAAACUAACUGGGCUUGAAGAGCUCAAAUUUUAAUAUAGGGACUAAAUUGAAUAUAGUUUGAGGCUAGGUUCUCUUUAAAUUAAUUAGAACUUAUAAGGUUUAAUUAUAAAUUAAACUAAUUGUGUUUCUGGGCCUGAAUACAAAUGGGCCCAGUAAUUAAAUCAGGCCAAGGGCCUGAUUCAGAACCUAAUUAAACGUCGGGCCUGAAUGCAAAUGGGCCCAGACCUGAACCAAAGGGCAAUUUGGUCUAAACCAGAAGUGAAAUUAGCUCAGACCUGAACCAGAAGCUAGAUCAGACCUGAAUCAGAGGUUGAAUCAGAUCUGAACCAGAAACUGAAUCAGACCUAAUCCAGAAAUUAAAUCAAAUCCGAACUAGGAAGUAAAUUAGACCAGAAGCAGAAAUUGAAUUAGGCUAUGGAUCCAAAAAUGAAAUUGAAUCCUAUGGAUGGGCUGUAAAUGACUUUAAGAUUAUAAAUACAUAGAAAUUAAAUGUGCAAAUGACAUGUAAUUUAAUGAUCUUACUAGGUAUUGGAGAAUUGGCAUUUGGUAAGCAAAUUAAGGUAAGUAACCUAUCUUAAUCUUAUUAUGGAUCAUGUAUCAUGUUUUAUAAGAUGAAAAAGUGAUAUUUAUGCAAUUGGAAUUGUGUAUAUGAAUUGUGGAAAAAGUAAUCCAGAUAUAAUCUUAUGUUUUAUCAAAUACUUGUGACUACUCGAUUAUGAAAUUGUAUAUGAUUAUUUAUGUUUUCACAAAAUUAGGAUCAAGCAUGUGUUAGCAAAUGAUUACAUGAUUUUGAAUAAAUAGCAUCCAUCAUGAUUAUUAUUAUAUUAUGUACACAUGAUUAUGAUGAUGUAGAAAGAUGCAUAGAAAAAUAAAGUUUUUAGCAUGAUCAUGAGUUUAAUUUAGCAGGAUGCCAUUAUUCACUUUCCAAUGUAUUUAUGAGAAAAGAUUUAUGAAAAGCAUGAUAUGUUUUAAGAACUCUCAGAUCGCUAUGCAUGAUCCCCGCCAGUGGGUAACAGUAACUAAGCAUACGACCCCCGCUAGUGGGUAAAAGUAACUUGGCUUUACGACCUCCGCCAGUAAGUAAUAAUAACUGAAAGAUGACCCUAUAGUGGUAAAGGCCUUGCCGUGGGAAUAAGAGCGGCCAUAGCUACACUACCAUCUGAGAGUAUGAAUUUCAAAGUAUGGAAUAAUGACAAAAGUUUUAUGAUGCAUAAUCAUAUUUAUGAAGUUGCAUGAAUGAACUUGCAUAGUUUUAUUACUGGUUGGAUUAUAUGAAAUGUUUACUUUAUCGCAAGCACAGAUUUCAAAGCAUGAAUAAUAACAACACAGAUUUCAAAGCAUGCAUAAUGAUAAGUACGGAUUUCAAAGCAAGAAUAAUGACGAGUACGAAUUUCAAAGCAUGAAAUAAAGACAAAAAUUUUACGUCUGGUUUGAUUAUAUGUUGUAUGAAGUGCUUACUUUGUUACAACCGUUGGUUUCUUAAAAUAAUGCACUAGUAUGAAAAAUAUUAUGCUUGAUCUAAUAAGAUUAUGUAUAGUUACUUGUUGAGCUUUAUUACUCACACCCAUAUAUUUAUGUUCUUAUAGAUGAAUAGGAGAUGCUAGGAACAAGGAGUGUGACAUGCUUCAGGGUUAUGAAAAAAGAUAAAAUAUUAAAUGUUGAUAUUUUAUAUGCUCUGUAAUCAACCCUUAUUGAUGAAAUAUUUGAUGAGAUUCAUGAAUUCAAUUGUUCAUAAUUGAUUUGAAGUUUUAAA